UACGUAGGGACCAAGCGUUGUUCGGAUUUACUGGGCGUAAAGGGCGCGUAGGCGGCUUAACAAGUCACUUGUGAAAUCUCCGGGCUUAACCCGGAAAGGUCAGCCGAUACUGCGGGGCUAGAGUGCAGAAGGGGCAACUGGAAUUCUCGGUGUAGCGGUGAAAUGCGUAGAUAUCGAGAGGAACACCUGCGGCGAAGGCGGGUUGCUGGGCUGACACUGACGCUGAUGCGCGAAAGCUAGGGGAGCGAACGGG
rnacentral:rRNA from 1 species